rnacentral:rRNA from 1 species
AGUGAACGCUGGCGGUAGGCCUAACACAUGCAAGUCGAACGGCAGCACAGUAAGAGCUUGCUCUUACGGGUGGCGAGUGGCGGACGGGUGGGGAAUACAUCCGUAUCUACUUCUCCGUGGGGGAGAACGUAGGGAAACUUACGCUAAUAUCGCAUACCACAUACUGGUGAAAGCAGUGAAUCUUCAGACCUUGCGCGAAUGAAUGAGCCGAUGUCGGAUUCGCUAGUUGGCGGGGUAAAGGCCCACCAAGCCGACGAUCCGUAGCUGGUCUGAGAGGAUGUUCGGCCACACUGGAACUGAGACACGGUCCAGACUCCUCCGGGAGGCAGCAGUGGGGAAUAUUGGACAAUGGGCGCAAGCCUGCUCCAGCCAUACCGCGUGGUUGAAGGAGGCCUUCGGGUUGUAAAGCCCUUUUGUUGGGAAAGACAAGCAGCAGGUUAAUACCCCGCUGUUCUGACGGUACCCAACGAAUAAGCACCGGCUAACUUCGUG